CGUAUAGUUUACAAGGCGAUGAAUAUCAUUUAAUACUUUAUCAUAUAAAAAAUUGUCCAUGUGGACACAUUAUCCCUGGACAGAAUUAUAGAAUUAAAUAAUGUCCACGUUAUACCUGAGGACAUAUUUUACAUAGGAAAUCGUGUCCAUGGACAGUAUUUACUAUGAAAUAAUGUCCAGUGGACACUAUUUCAUGAAGAACACUAUAAAAAUUCUACACAAUUCAACCACUACGAGAUGUAGAAAAUCGGUCUUUUUUUUCCAAAUUCCCUUUUUUUUUAUUUUCGAUAUCUUAUACUAUUUAUUUCGUAUCUGCUAAUUCAUUUACUGUAGUUGCAUACAGAUUCCCUUAUACAAGUGUGUGUGACAAUUUGUCCAUGAUAUUAAAACAAGUAUGACAAUGAUUAUAGGGAAAUCAUAGUGCAAUGGUUAUGUUGACAUGAUGACUAUGUUAAAGGGGCACUAGCGGUCAAAUUCAUGUUCA
rnacentral:lncRNA from 1 species